AUUGAACGCUGGCGGCAGGCCUAACACAUGCAAGUCGAGCGGAUGAAGGGAGCUUGCUCCUGGAUUCAGCGGCGGACGGGUGAGUAAUGCCUAGGAAUCUGCCUGGUAGUGGGGGAUAACGUCCGGAAACGGGCGCUAAUACCGCAUACGUCCUGAGGGAGAAAGUGGGGGAUCUUCGGACCUCACGCUAUCAGAUGAGCCUAGGUCGGAUUAGCUAGUUGGUGGGGUAAAGGCCUACCAAGGCGACGAUCCGUAACUGGUCUGAGAGGAUGAUCAGUCAGACUGGAACUGGGACACGGUCCAGACUCCUGCGGGAGGCAGCAGUGGGGAAUAUUGGACAAAGGGCGAAAGCCUGAUCCAGCCAUGCCGCGUGUGUGAAGAAGGUCUUCGGAUUGUAAAGCACUUUAAGUUGGGAGGAAGGGCAGUAAGUUAAUACCUUGCUGUUUUGACGUUACCAACAGAAUAAGCACCGGCUAACUUCGUG
rnacentral:rRNA from 1 species